rnacentral:rRNA from 1 species
UUAGUCGGGCACUCUGGAGGGACUGCCGGCGACAAGCCGGAGGAAGGUGGGGAUGACGUCAAGUCAUCAUGGCCCUUAUGUCCAGGGCGACACACGUGCUACAAUGGCCGGCACAGCGGGAAGCGGAGGGGCGACCCUGAGCGGAUCCCUUGAAAGCCGGUCCCAGUUCGGAUUGCAGUCUGCAACUCGACUGCAUGAAGUUGGAAUCGCUAGUAAUCGCGGAUCAGCCAAGCCGCGGUGAAUACGUUCCCGGGCCUU